AUUACAUUUUUCACGACAGGUCAGCUGAAAGGAAAGCACAGGCUCAACAAGAAGAUAACGGUUUAAAGGGUUCCAGACCAUCUGAAUCACGAUGAGAGGGUGGUGAUGAUGCUGGUGGUAGUGGUAGGGGUGCUGAUGCAAACAGCUCAUUGCUGUGUGUCCAGACUAUGCAGAAAAGCAUUAGCACAGCAAUAUGCUGCAAUACCGAAAUUUACUGGCAGAAGUGGAGAGCAAGCAGCUCAUUUUUCAAGGACUUUACAGUCUGUUCUCUGCCUUAACCUGCUCCAAGAGUUAGUUCUCAUACGACUUCUCAAUAUUUUCAUAAUUAGCUGCCCAGAAUUUUCAUAAUUUGUAAACACAGUAAAAUGGCUGUCCGACAUUUAGUACGGUAAAAGUGGAGGGGAAAAAAGACCAGCUUCCUUAAACCAUUUACAUUUGACUUGGGGAGAAAGCUGGGCCUGUGCCCACAGCAGUUAAAUGAUCAGGCGCACGACUCAAAGUGAUUUUUCUUGAGGUGUCACUGCCACACAAAACUACCAUGUGUUCUUUCUUGGCUCACGCUGGCUUUGCUGAUCUUCCAGGACUCUGAAGGCUGCACCCCAGCCCCAGUUUUACAUCCAUUUUUUCCUGCCAGGGUGAAGGCGGCAAAAACCACACGUGUUUUUCUUGCUCCCUUCCCUCGGGAGGGCUGAUUGCCUCCGGAGGAACCAUCUUCCACAUCAGCGAGCACUGGUAUUUCACCUGGCACAAUGGCCAAGCUGGAUAUGGCACACAGAGGGGAACGCACGAUGGAAAACAAGUCUUCAUGGUAACGCAAGUUGAAGCUGCCAGGCAACGGUAACUUCCGUGUUUGUAGUCCAAGCUGCUAGCUGAAGAACUGUAAUUUUGAGCAAGAAAAUGUUGGGAAAAGCUAAGAGCAAGAGCAAAGAAGGGUGGAAAGAAUCGUGGAGGGCCAAAAGUAUGCUCUGGACUGAGUGAGAGGAAACAAAAAGAACAAAAUAUGAGAAAUUCUGCAGAUACAUAGGCAGAAUAUAGGCUUGUAGCGCAAUUUACAUGUUUCCAAAUAAAACGUUUAUACUUUCCA
rnacentral:lncRNA from 1 species